GUAAGAGAGAAACGCGCACACUGCGGAGUUCAGGCGAGGAGAGGGAUGACAGGCAAACAACGGAGAGAAUACUGAAGCACAACACGCAGUGAACACGCGAUUCAGCGGUUGCUCGCUCCAUUACAUCUAAGGCUGUAGUGACAGCGACCCACCCGUUGUCCUGAUAAAUACUGCAGGAAUCACCCUUACUUUGCGUGCGUUUCUGGCUGGAGAAAUCUGGAGUAGGUUUGACUAUGCUGCCGGUACGCUCUGUUCAACGCGGGGCUCCGAGAGCCAUCCUCGUGCUGGGGACGCUAUGGGGACUUGGAUUAGCCCAAGGUGACAUAUUGGCCACUCCCCCUCCCUCGGCCCCAUCUUCACCUCCUCCUCAACCUACAGAAGGUGCUCCAGCACAGGGUGUGCGGGGAAUGCCCUCUAGGGGUCAAGGUAUCCUGGAGUCUGUCCUGGCACAGAAGGACCACCUGCUUUCCCAGAAGGGGGCGGUGUUCCCCACAGCCUUGCCUGCGGACCUGCUGCCUAUCCUGGGCAAGGGGCUGGGGGCAGGAGUUCUUUCCCCCGAGCAAGAGAUCCGGAAAAGAUUGCGCCCCCUUCACAGCAGUGGCGCCCUCCCCACCUCUGCCCCACCCACAGGCAGCCCCACCAAUCCAGAAUCCCCCUCCCUCACUGUCCCAUCGAAGACAGACCCCCCGACGACCCCCCCAGUGUUGGAUGAUGGCCUCUCUCUCACUCCCACCCUGACCACCACAGUGGAGACGGACACAGACACACCGACACCAGCCGCGUCACGCUGCAUGGUCAAUUUCUCUGACCCAGAGGGGUAUAUUGAUUCUUCAGAUGACCCCCCUUUGCCAGAUGGGGCCUUCCUGCAGUGCAUUUACACUGUCACUGUUUAUACCGGCUAUGGAGUUGAGCUGCAGGUAAAGAAUGUCAAUCUGUCUGAGGGAGAGCAGCUGUCAAUCAGAGGAGUGGAUGAGGGCGGGGCUCUGCUAGUGCUGGCCAAUGAGACGCUACUCGUUGAGGGCCAGGUGAUCCGCAGCCCAACCAAUACCAUCUCUGUGUUUUUCCGCUCCUUCGUGGAGGGUGGCAUGGGGACCUUCCAGCUACACUACCAGAUCUUCCGGCUCAGCUGUGCGCUGCCGCGCCGCCCACACUUCGGGGAGGUGUCAGUGCAGGACCUGCACCCCGGCGGCAAGGCGCGUUUCCACUGCCACAUGGGCUACCACCUGCAGGGGGCGCCGGAGCUCACCUGCCUUAACGCCUCCCUGCCCACCUGGAGCGGCCGGGAGCCCAGCUGCAGGGCUCUGUGUGGGGGCUCAGUGAAAAACGCCACGGUGGGCAGGGUGCUGUCCCCGUCCCCCCAGCCUGCCAACAGCACUCAAGGCCGCAGCUGCUCCUGGUCCCUGGAGGCCCCCGUGGGACAAAGGCUGCACCUGCACCUGGAGAGACUGGCGCUGGGACCCACGGACAGGCUGGUACUGUGGAGUGGUCUUGACGCUGGCUCUGUGGUUCUGUUUGAUUCGGGGCGGGGAACGCCCAUCCCAUUUGAGGGGGUAAUCAGCGAGGGCCCAGCCGUCAGAGUCCAGUUCAUCACUGAUCUCCCGAACCACACCACUGGCUUCAAUAUCCGCUAUGAGGCAUUCGAGAAGGGGCACUGCUAUGAGCCCUACCUCCAGAAUGGGAACUUCAGCACCUCAGACCCCACCUAUGGCGUCGGGGCAGUGGUCCAGUUCAGCUGCGACCCGGGCCACUCGCUGGAGCAGGGGCCACCUGUCAUUGAGUGCAUCAACGCCCGAGACCCUUACUGGAAUGACACAGAGCCGCUGUGCAAAGCGCUCUGUGGGGGGGACCUGUCCGGCCCUAGUGGGGUGAUCCUGUCCCCUAACUGGCCUGAGUGGUACGGGGAGGGGGAGGACUGCAGCUGGAGGAUCCACGUCGGGGAGGACAAGCGCGUGCUGCUGGAUGUACAGCUGCUGAACCUGAGCGACAGUGACAUGCUGACCAUCCUGGACGGCGACGAGGUCACCACCCGCAUCCUGGGCCAGUACGUCGGGGGCACCAGUCCCUUCAAGCUGUCCUCCUCCUCCCCAGACCUCACCAUCACCUUCCACUCCGACCCAGCUGGACUGGUCUUCGGCAAGGGGGAGGGAUUCAUCAUCAACUACAUGGAGGUGUCCCGGAACGAUUCCUGCUCAGACCUGCCCGAGAUCCAGAACGGCUGGAAGACCACCUCCCACACUGCCCUGGUCCGAGGGGCCCGCAUCACGUACCAGUGCGACCCGGGGUACGACCUGGUGGGCAGGGAGACGCUUAUCUGCCAGCUGGACCUCAGUUGGAGCACCCAGCCGCCCUUCUGUGAGAAGAUUAUGUACUGCUCUGACCCCGGCCACGUCGAGCACUCCACCCGAUCCCUGUCUGACCCCAAGCUGCUGGUGGGGACCACCAUCCAGUACAGCUGCAAUCCCGGUUAUGUCCUGCAGGGCAGCGCCAUACUCACCUGCUAUGGCCGCGAACCCGGGACGCCAGUCUGGACCUCCCGCCUGCCUCACUGUGUCUCUGAAGACUCGGUUUCAUGUGAGAACCCAGGCCUGCCCGAGAAUGGUUACCAGAUCCUGUACAAGAGGCUGUACCUACCUGGAGAGUCUCUCACCUUUAUGUGCUACCAGGGCUACGAGCUGAUCGGAGAGAUUGCCAUCAAGUGCAUCCUGGGAAACCCAAGCUUUUGGAGUGGGCCCUUGCCGCUCUGUCGGGCCAACCAUGACUGCUUUGGCAACCAUGCUCUAGAGGUGGCAGAGGCGGCAGCAGACUCUUCAUUGGAUGGAGGAAAUAUGGCUCUGGCCAUUUUUAUUCUAGUGCUGCUGCUGUCUGUCCUGCUGGGGGGAGCCUAUGUCUAUGUCACAAGGUGUCGCUAUCAUUCCAACUUGCGCCUACCUCUGAUGUACCCCCAUCCUUACAGCCAGAUCACUGUGGAGACAGAGUUCGACAACCCCCUUUAUGAGACUGGGGGGGACACAAGGGAAUAUGAGGUGUCGAUAUGAGGACCACUCACAACCCCAGAGGAACACCCCUGAUCUAGCCCCAACCUCCCCCAAACUCGAACCUCUUGAGAAAGAGGAAUCAAUGCGCAGGAACGGCAGGGCCCGAGGACCAGAGAGACAGACGGACCUGCAGCGACGAAGAAAAUGAGAAACCGCUUGCACCUUUACUGAGAGGGGUGGGAAGAGGGGGCAGGAGGCUAAAGGAGUGGAGAGGGAGGAGACGGAGAGGAGAAUGACACGGGCCGAAAAAGAGAAGCGCUGUGUGCGGGAAGCAGGUAGCGAUAGUCACAGCAAGAGGGACAGAUGUUAAUGACACCGUCCUUUCACCUGUGGUGCCACCCAUUCUCCAGGCUGAGAGAGUCAGGGAGCAAGAGAGAGUGGCCAGGCGCGGAAAGCGACGGCUUGCGUCAUGAGUCUGCCCAGAGUCUGAGAGAUUCUGGAGUCUGGGAUCACAAAAGAGGAGGGUGAACUGGCAAUGCCUGUGCGUCUAAAGGCCGUAGACACACAGGCAGAGAGAGGAAGCUGAGUAUCUGUCUGUUUCCCCCCCCUCUCCCUGCCUGCUCUCAUUUUUACAGCUUUGUACUUGGACAGUUUUAGUACAGGUUAUAUUGUAGUAUCUGACUUUCCCCCAUGCAACUAAGUACAGAAAACAGAG